UGACUAAGGAGCAGGUCGCGAAGGCAUGUGAAACGGAGGGGGCGGGGUAGCGGAGAAGUGGUAGUCCAGACAAGCUUAAAUGAUUUCUUCCCCCUCCAUACUGCUAUAUGUACUGCACCAGUGCAAGGAGGACGCCAUCGAAGGGGGAUUGGUCGUACGACUCUCAAUAGCAAGAAGAAAACAAGAAGGCAAGUGGGCGCCCGAGAGAGAAGAGUCGGGUUCUCAAAUGUUGUGGAGACAAUCUGCCCCACCGAAUGAUAUGCAACCGAGUACAGCAGCAGCGGCGACGGGAAUGUUGCGAGUGAUGAAGACAAUGGAAGGCCU